GUUCUCCUACGGGGGGCAGCAGUGGGGAAUAUUGGGCAAUGGGCGCAAGCCUGACCCAGCAACGCCGCGUGAAGGAAGAAGGCUUUCGGGUUGUAAACUUCUUUUAUCAGGGACGAAGCAAGUGACGGUACCUGAUGAAUAAGCCACGGCUAACUACGUGCCAGCAGCCGCGGUAAUACGUAGGUGGCAAGCGUUAUCCGGAUUUACUGGGUGUAAAGGGCGUGUAGGCGGGAGUGCAAGUCCGGUGUGAAAACUAUGGGCUC
rnacentral:rRNA from 1 species